rnacentral:lncRNA from 1 species
GUUACAGACACUUCAGGUUACAGACUCCACUAACCCAGAAAUAGUACCUCGGGUUGAGAACUUUACCUCAGGAUGAGAACAGAAAUCACACGGCAGUGGGCGGCCCCCUUAGCUAAAGUGGUACCUCAGGUUAAGAACAGUUUCAGGUUAAGAACAGACCUCUGGAACGAAUUAAGUUCUUAACCCGAGGUACCACUGUAUAGCUGUUAAUGAUAAAUUAGCAUGGGCCAUUAAGGUAAGACAGUGAAUAUGCAGGAGAAAUGAUUUUGAGGAGAUAUGGAGGGUGUUUGUACAAUUUGUGCUGUUUAAACGGAAAAGGGGUCAAACCACCGCAAGAGGUGUUGAAAUCUUGGGAAAUUGGAUAGUUACAGUGGAAUGGUCUCGGGGGGUUGGAGGCACAAUGUUUAUUUAUGAUUAUUACUUGUCCCCCCAAAAAAGAAAAUUUUAAAAGGGAGGACCAAGAAGUAAAGGGUCAAGAAACAAAACGUUAUGAGGAAUGGUGGAGGGAGUUGGGUCUGCUUAGCCUGGAGAAGGGACAACUGAGAGGAGGUAGGAGAGCUAUCUUCCAAUACUUGAAGGGCCACCACAUGGAAGAUGGAAAAAAAUUGUUUCCUGCUGCUCUGAAAGACAGGACUUGUUCUGCUCCUGAGCUGCUGAGAGUGCAGGGACCACCCUACAGCAGGGGUGGGGUGCCACUGGGAAGUCUAGUUUUGUGUGACACCUCAGACCUCUGAGCAGAACAGAGGCCACCUUAGGAAUCCUGGGCUCCUCUGGCCACUGGAUGCAAAGAAGCCCCAUCCCACAGGAAGAGAGAGAGAGCUUCUCUGGCCAAAGACAUCUCUCAACCUUGGAAUUCUGCUCUGUUGCAGGGAAGCCUGGGCAAUGUCCUGGGGCUCAGCCAGGUAUGGUCGGACCCUGCGUGGUUUGGUGUAAGAAUGACUGGUCAUGCCCUGGAGUUCAGAAGUGCUGCGGGAGUUGCCCACGAGCUUGUGCUUAUCCUGUCAGAGGGAAGCCUGGACGAUGCCCCCCGAAUCAAGGUGUGGGAAACUGCAUUGCACGGUGUAGAAAUGACUGGUCCUGCCCCGGUGUUCAGAAGUGCUGCGGCAGUUGCCCACAAGAUUGCCGUUUUCCUGUCUAAGUUUCUCUGCCGCAGAAGACCUUGGAUGGACCGGAUGACCAGAAACAAGGAAUGGAGCUUAGCCUGUAUCAUCUGAAGACCUGCUGACCUCUCCGAAUGUGACCAUCAAGGCACCACGAUCUGAGACCUUGGCUUUCUACCAACUUGUCAGGUUUCUGGUCGUUGAGCAAAGUUUGCUCCAUCCGGCAUCCUCUUUUUCUUUUGCACAAUAAAGGCAUUGACUCAUCUGCAUGCUAGACUGUGUGUGUGUGUGUGUGUUCACUGCUUCCUUCUCCAGUGUUGUGCCCAACUUUGAUGUCCCAAUGGGGCAGGGUUGAGGAACCUUCAGCCCACCUGCCAAUCUUGCCCCACCAGCCUUCCACGUUUGGUCCUCAAGGCCAUUUGGGGCAAGCCAU